rnacentral:rRNA from 1 species
CCUACGGGUGGCUGCAGUGAGGAAUAUUGGUCAAUGGGCGAGAGCCUGAACCAGCCAAGUCGCGUGAAGGAUGAUGGCCCUACGGGUUGUAAACUUCUUUUGUCAGGGAGCAAUUGGGUCCACGCGUGGGCUUAGCGAGAGUACCUGAAGAAAGAGCAUCGGCUAACUCCGUGCCAGCAGCCGCGGUAAUACGUAGGAUGCGAGCGUUAUCCGGAUUUAUUGGGUUUGAAGGGUGCGCAGGCGGAAUAUCAAGUCAGCGGUAAAAAUUCGGGGCUAAACCCCGUAGUGCCGUUGAAACUGAUGUUCUUGAGUGGGCGAGAGGUAUGCGGAAUGCGUGGUGUAGCGGUGAAAUGCAUAGAUAUCACGCAGAACACCGAUGGCGAAGGCAGCAUACCGGCGCCCAACUGACGCUGAAGCACGAAAGCGUGGGUAUCGAACAGGAUUAGAUACCCGUGUAGUC